CCUACGGGAGGCAGCAGUGAGGAAUAUUGGUCAAUGGGCGGAAGCCUGAACCAGCCAAGUAGCGUGCAGGAUGACGGCCCUACGGGUUGUAAACUUCUUUUAUAUGGGAAUAAAAUGUUCCACGUGUGGGAUUUUGUAUGUACCAUAUGAAUAAGGAUCGGCUAACUCCGUGCCAGCAGCCGCGGUAAUACGGAGGAUCCGAGCGUUAUCCGGAUUUAUUGGGUUUAAAGGGAGCGUAGGUGGAUUGUUAAGUCAGUUGUGAAAGUUUGCGGCUCAACCGUAAAAUUGCAGUUGAAACUGGCAGUCUUGAGUACAGUAGAGGUGAGCGGAAUUCGUGGUGUAGCGGUGAAAUGCUUAGAUAUCACGAAGAACUCCGAUUGCGAAGGCAGCUCACUGGACUGCAACUGACACUGAGGCUCGAAAGUGUGGGUAUCAAACAGGAUUAGAUACCCGAGUAGUC
rnacentral:rRNA from 1 species